UACAGAGGUCUCAAGCGUUGUUCGGAUUCAUUGGGCGUAAAGGGUGCGUAGGCGGUCGUGCAAGUCGGAUGUGAAAUCUCAGGGCUCAACCCUGAAACUGCAUUCGAUACUGCGUGGCUAGAGUGCUGGAGAGGAGACUGGAAUUUACGGUGUAGCAGUGAAAUGCGUAGAUAUCGUAAGGAAGACCAGUGGCGAAGGCGGGUCUCUGGGCAGUAACUGACGCUGAGGAGCGAAAGCGUGGGGAGCGAACAGG
rnacentral:rRNA from 1 species